GAUGAACGCCGGCGGUGUGCCUAAUACAUGCAAGUCGUACGCACUGGCCCAACUGAUUGAUGGUGCUUGCACCUGAUUGACGAUGGAUCACCAGUGAGUGGCGGACGGGUGAGUAACACGUAGGUAACCUGCCCCGGAGCGGGGGAUAACAUUUGGAAACAGAUGCUAAUACCGCAUAACAACAAAAGCCACAUGGCUUUUGUUUGAAAGAUGGCUUUGGCUAUCACUCUGGGAUGGACCUGCGGUGCAUUAGCUAGUUGGUAAGGUAACGGCUUACCAAGGCGAUGAUGCAUAGCCGAGUUGAGAGACUGAUCGGGCCACAAUGGAACUGAGACACGGUCCAUACUCCUACGGGAGGCAGCAGUAGGGAAUAUUGCACAAUGGGGGAAACCCUGAUGCAGCGACGCCGCGUGAAGGAAGAAGUAUC
rnacentral:rRNA from 1 species